UUCCGGUUGAUCCCGCCGGACCCUACUGCUAUCGGGGUGGGACUAAGACAUGCAAGUCGUGCGUCUCUAAGCUAUGGUAGAGACGCGGCGUACGGCUCAGUAACACGUGGCUAACCUACCCUUAGGACGGGGACAACCCCGGGAAACUGGGGCUAAUACCCGAUAGGUGAGGAGGCCUGGAAUGGUUCUUCGCUGAAAAGGCGUUGAAACCAUGUUUUUUAACGUCGCCUAAGGAUGGGGCCGCGGCCGAUCAGGUUGUUGGUGAGGUAACGGCCCACCAAGCCUAUAACCGGUACGGGCCGUGAGAGCGGGAGCCCGGAGAUGGGCACUGAGACAAGGGCCCAGGCCCUACGGGGCGCAGCAGUCGCGAAAACUCCGCAAUGCGCGAAAGCGUGACGGGGCUACCCCGAGUGCCGUCCGCUGAGGAUGGCUUUUCCCCGGUGUAAUGAGCCGGGGGAAUAAGGAGAGGGCAAGACUGGUGUCAGCCGCCGCGGUAAUACCAGCUCUCCGAGUGGUAGGGACGAUUAUUGGGCUUAAAGCGUUCGUAGCCGGCCUGGCAAGUCUCUCGUUAAAUCCAGCGACCCAAUCGCUGGGCCGCGGGAGAUACUGUCAGGCUUGGGAACGGGAGAGGCCGACGGUAUUCCCGGGGUAGGAGUGAAAUCCUAUAAUCCCGGGAGGACCACCAGUGGCGAAGGCUGUCGGCUAGAACGCGUCCGACGGUGAGGGACGAAAGCUGGGGGAGCGAACCGGAUUAGAUACCCGGGUAGUCCCAGCUGUAAACGAUGCGGGCUAGGUGUCGGUGUGGCUACGAGCCACUCCGGUGCCGCAGGAAGCUCUUAAGCCCGCCGCCUGGGAAGUACGGUCGCAAGGCUGAAACUUAAAGGGAAUUGGCGGGGGAGCACACCAGGGGGUGAGCUUGCGUUCAAUUGGAGUCACGCCGA
rnacentral:rRNA from 1 species